UGUGCUGAGAGCCCCCUGCUGUAAAGCCCAGCUUCUCCUGGUGGAGUUGGGAAAAGGGAGCGCCAGUGUUGAGCGAGCUUCUGUCUCCUCCCUCAGUGUUUCUGCCCGAGGGCCUGCAACAUGAGAAUCCCUGACUAUGUGCAGUGUGCUGAGUACUACGAGACUCUACCCGUGGUGGUCCAACCCGUGGGGAUCAUUUCAGGAUAAUUUCUUUUGCAUCUAUAAUCGAAACUCCUUGGUGAGCCAGAUCAGCCCGUGCGGCUCCCUGUGGGCACUCUGUAUCCACUACAGGCACCACUAUGUGCCCGAGAAUGGGUGGAGUGACUUUCAGACCCACCGCAAGGUCGUGGGCCUUGUCACCAUUACCGACUGCCUCUAGGCCAAGGCCUUUGAGAAGCUUCACGUGCAGAGGAGCUCUAUGGCACCACGCUUAAUGACUCUCAGCUCUUUGACUUUGUGCUGCAUGGGGAGGUAGCCGAGCACCCGUGCACUGAUGUGACCUUCAGUCUACGAGGACUGCAGGGUGGUGGAGAAGAGGAUCGAGGACUUCACUGAGUCACUCUUCAUCUUGUUCAAGUCCAUGUGGCUGGAUGGGGCCCCCGAAAGUCUGGGGACAAGAUCCCCCUCCUCUGCGUCCUGUUUGAGAAGGAGGACUUCAUGGGACUGGAUACAGACAGCAGGGCCCUGUGAUUUACAUGCCUGCGCUCCCCUUCUGCUCCUUAGAGAUAAGAUGGCAGGUUUAGGAGCCUGGGCAGUGCUGAGGGCACAGCUGCCAGCACCGUGCUACACCGAGGCUGGCUGCAUUCACCUCAC